rnacentral:rRNA from 1 species
GUGCACCAGUCGCGCAACCUCUGCAAUACGCGAAAGCGUGACAGGGCUACCCCGAGUGCCGUCCGCUGAGGACGACUUUUCCACGCUGUAAGGAGGCGUGGGAAUAAGGAGAGGGCAAGUCUGGUGUCAGCCGCCGCGGUAAUACCAGCUCUCCGAGUGGUAGGGACGUUUAUUGGGCUUAAAGCGUCCGUAGCCGGCUCAACAAGUCUCCCGUUAAAUCCAACGAUUCAAUCGUUGGACUGCGGGAGAUACUGCUGGCUAGGAGGCGAGAGAGGCCGACGGUAUUCCCGGAGUAGGGGUGAAAUCUUAUAAUUCCGGGAGGACCACCAGUGGCGAAGGCGUCUGUCCACAACGGAUCCGACGGUAAGGGACGAAGCCCUGGGGCGCAAACGGGAUUAGAUACCCCUGUAGUCC